GACCAUUAAAGAUGUAUAUAAACACUUAUAUAUUAAAUGUUUGACUGAAAUAGUGAAGUACUGUAUGUCAUAAUCCUACAGUAUCAGUAUUCUGACUUCGAGAUCAUGAACAUACUGUAAUCUGCUCAAAUGACAAGCUAGUAUGUUUGUCAAAAAUUAUUAUUUGCUAAGCUGUUUAAAACAUUUUGGAAAGGAGGGAGAAUUAAGAAUAACAUUUCCUUCCAGAACCCUUUUGUCAUCCUGGGUACCAUGGGUUUGCUCAGAAUUCUUUUUCACUUAUUUCUUUUUAACUGUGGUCAUGCAAGUUCACGAAAGUCAUGUUGUCUUUCUGGCUCAUCUAUUUCCUGUUCAUAGCUGGCUGUUUGUCUGCACCUGCAUUAAACAGCAAGUCUAAAAGAAGCACACAGGAGCUACAGCUGCUCUUUGAUCCUGAUUUGCUUAAAAAGCAAAUCAGCCUUACAGAUGAUUAUGGUGAAAAACCCGUCACACCUGUUUUACCUGACUUUGAAACUCCCUUUUGGCAUGACUCAGAGGAUUAAGACCACUUGGAGUAAAACAUACAAUAAGAAUUAAACUUAUUGUGUCAUGCAUAUUUUGAACAAAAUUA